UGGGGAAUAUUGGACAAUGGGGGAAACCCUGAUCCAGCAAUGCCGCGUGUGUGAAGAAGGCCUGCGGGUUGUAAAGCACUUUCAGUAGGGAAGAUAGUGACGGUACCUACAGAAGAAGCACCGGCUAACUCCGUGCCAGCAGCCGCGGUAAUACGGAGGGUGCGAGCGUUAAUCGGAAUUACUGGGCGUAAAGCGGGCGUAGGCGGCUUGUUAAGUCGGAUGUGAAAGCCCCGGGCUUAACCUGGGAAUUGCAUUCGAUACUGGCUGGCUAGAGUGUGGUAGAGGGUAGCGGAAUUCCCGGUGUAGCGGUGAAAUGCGUAGAUAUCGGGAAGAACACCAGUGGCGAAGGCGGCUACCUGGACCAACACUGACGCUGAGGUCCGAAAGCGUGGGGAGCAAACAGG
rnacentral:rRNA from 1 species